ACGCUCGACACCUACGGGAUGCAGCAGUAGGGAAUCUUCCACAAUGGACGCAAGUCUGAUGGAGCAACGCCGCGUGAGUGAAGAAGGUCUUCGGAUCGUAAAACUCUGUUGUUAGAGAAGAACACGAGUGAGAGUAACUGUUCAUUCGAUGACGGUAUCUAACCAGCAAGUCACGGCUAACUACGUGCCAACAGCCGCGGUAAUCUGAGCGGGCUGGCAAGGC
rnacentral:rRNA from 1 species